rnacentral:rRNA from 1 species
UACGUAGGGGGCAAGCGUUGUCCGGAUUUAUUGGGCGUAAAGCGCUCGCAGGUGGUUCGUUGCGUCGUGCGUGAAAGACCCCGGCUCAACUGGGGAGGGUCGUGCGAUACGGGCGGACUGGAGGCCAGUAGGGGGAUGCGGAAUUCCGGGUGUAGUGGUGGAAUGCGUAGAGAUCCGGAGGAACACCAGCGGCGAAGGCGGCAUCCUGGACUGGUCCUGACACUCAGGAGCGAAAGCGUGGGGAGCGAACAGG